AUAAGUCCAAUUCUGGCAUCUUUACACUGGCUACCAGUUAAAUAUCGCAUACAAUUUAAAAUAUUACUAAUCACCUACAAAGCCUUAAAUGGCCUAGCGCCCUCGUAUAUUAAAGAAUGACUAUCAGAAUACAAUCCACCACAUAAACUGCGAUCACAAAAUUCUGGUCACUUAAUUAUCCCUAGAAUAUCAAAAGUGUCUAAAGGUGGUAGAUCCUUUUCCUACUCAGCCCCUAAGCUCUGGAAUGAUUUACCAAAUAAUGUUCGAGUAUCAGACACAGUCGAUCAAUUUAAAGCUAAACUUCCAUUCUAAAGACAUUCUUCUUUAACAAAGCAUUCACAUAAAAUGUCCAGUAAAUGUACUUAUCCCGCAAUAGUUAUUUUGUCUAGAACAAAGCACUCACAUACCUCAUAUGGGUAAUACACUAUUGUCGCAAUAGGUAGCCAGUCUGGAACUGAGCGGAUUUUAAACCACAAUACUGUAUAACACUUGCAUUACAAGCGAAUGGCCCCUACGCUAAUAGAAUUCUGUUUUUCUCUCCCUGUCUCAUCCUCGACCCCGAGGACAAUGAGACAAACAGACGCAGUUCCUGUUGCUGUGAAGGUCAUCACAUCAUUGAUCUACUGGCUGUCCCUCAACGUGAUGCCCAGCCGAUACGCGACCGACGACCACCGGCUGAACCAGUUUAAUCCGCUUACCCGCCUCCUAUCCCUACAGUGUUUAUAUAUACAUAUAUAAAUAUAUAUUAAUUUCUUCCAAGGGUUUUUGUCCUUCUAGGAGUUUUCCCACUGGGUUUUCUCCUAGGGGGUUUUUCGUCCCCGGGAGGGUCAGCCAACUUUGGCUUAACUUAGCACUUUACUGUAUACGUUACAUUAUUACUACGCUCGCUUGUACGGUUUGUCCUUAACUGCUAUUUUCUACUUCUUAUAUUAUCUAUUGAUUUUCUGUGUUCUCCCCUACAUCUGCUCAUGUAAAGCUGCUUUGCAACAAGUAACAAUUGUGAAAAGUGCUAUAUAAAUAAAAUUGAAUUGAAUUAUGUGUUUUCUCUCUCAGUAAGGACUAACGUUAACUGACUGUCUGUCUGUUCUCAACCAAACAGUCAUUCAAGACCUUUUAAAGCACAAACAUUUCCCGGGCAAGUUUGAAUUUCUCUCACACAAGCAUUUCCCGCGCAAGUUUGAAUUUCUCUCAGUAAGGACUGAUGGAUGGCCAUUCACUUAUAAAACCUUUUAAAGGUUAGCACGAAUGCGUCCAGCAUAAUUUUGGAUCUUUACCAUUGAGGAGACUGGCUGACUGUUCUCAACCAACCAUCAUUCACACACAAAAACUUUAGAUGUAAGUACAAACGCGUCUUUACCAUUGAGGAGGCUGACUGACUUUCAUCUACCAACCGUCAUUAACACAACAAAAACUAAAGAAAUGUUACUACAAGUGGACCUAUUUAUUUACUCAUCAUGCUGUAAGUACACCACAGUUUUGUCAGUGAAAAUAUAAUAUUUGAGUUUUCUCACUGCUUGGCGUAGACAAAUGUGACCAUGUGUAAUUUGGAAAAUACAUGGAAAAAGUGUAUGUCUUAAUGUUUAAAUGUUGUUUGAAUUAAGGGACAGUACACUGAUUUUGUUUUAUAAUAUUCCUGUUUGGACAGUCUAUUAAAGUCAUAAAGGAAUACUUGAUUUAUUUCAUAAGGACUGUGUAAAUCUAAUAUUAGUUUUAAUGUGAAUUUGGACUGAACAGCUCACUUUUGUUUUAUGUCUAAAACAAUGUUUGUAAAAUAAAUGAUUGUUCAAUAAACUGUAAUAAUUUCA